GGAAAAUUAAAGCCUAUGUGGCUGACAAAGCAACGAAUUUAUGGGGAAGUAGUUUGUUGCAGCAAUGGGAAACACAGAUAAACAUUCCUCCAGUCUCAGAAAUAAAUCAUAAAGAAUGCUUCUGAGAGCAAUACUAAAAGGUAUUAUCAAGAAUAUUCUCUGACUGUUCAGGUUGUACAUAAACAGCACAACAGCUGUUGGUCUUUCAAAGGUACCAACAGCCCUACCUUUAAAAUGGCUGACAAACCAUCCUGUAUGGGGGAAACAGUGGCCUUUGUCAUCAGAAAAAUUACAAGCACUAGAAUAACUGGUACAGGAACUGCUAAAUGCUUAACAUACUGAAGAAGCAACUAGUCCUUAGAAUUGUCCUGUAUUUGUUAUUAAAAAGAUAUCUGGAAAAUGGAGAAUGGUAACAGACAUGAGAGCUGUAAAUUAGGUGAUUCAGCCAGUGGGCUCCUUACAGUCUGGGAUUCCCUUGCCUUCCUUACUACCUAAAGGUCUUUUAAUGAUUAACAAACUGCUUUUUUUUUUUUUUUUUUAUAACUGUACCUUUACAGGAAAUGGAUAGAGAAAAAUCUCAGCUCGUUAAAAGGAGAAGAAACGCUAUGUAUACCAUCAAGAUUGAUAAACAUGAGAUUCGAACAGGAGAGACCUUUUAAUUAGUAGAGGAGGUAUUUUACCAAACAGCUUGGUCAUUCAAUCCAAAGUAACUUAGAAAACUAAAAGAUGCAGGGGCUGGAGAGAUGGCUCAGUAACCACUGACUGCUCUUCCAGAGGACUGGGGUUCAGUUUCCAGCACCCACAUGGCAGCUCUUGACCCUCUGUAACUGUAGUGCCAGGAGAUCUGGAACCCUCACACAGAAAUAAAAUGCAUGCAAAACACCAAUACAUAUAAAAAUAAUUUCUUUGCCGGGUGGUGGUGGCACACGUCUUUAGUCCUAGCACUCUGGAGGCAAGGGCAGGCAGAUCUUUGUGAGUUCAAGACCAGCCUAGUCCUGGUCUACAAGAGCUUGUUUCAGGGCAGCCUCCAAAGCCACAGAGAAACCCUGUCUUGACACCCCC
rnacentral:lncRNA from 1 species